rnacentral:lncRNA from 1 species
CCGAUACAUAUAUAAAGAAAAAAUUGCAAAAACUGGUCUUGAAUGUUUGAAGCAAACGCCUAUUCCUUAAGUUGGAAGCUUUGUACUUUUCUACGAAGCUCCCUCUGGAGUUAUUACCCAUGAGAAACGACUCAUUGCGUUUGCCCCGCGUAUGAGAAGAGAAGUGGGCUUUUUAAUAUUUUAAUUCCAGUGUCAACUCUACCGCCUAUGUGUUGCCACGUCUGAUGAUUUGUCCUAUUGGAUUAGAACUGUAUUUAAACGAUAGGAACAAAACGAUUCUUCUAAAAUUAGCUAAAAUCUGCGAGCAACUAGCCCCCCUUUCUUUCCCUAAAAAAAAAGUUUCUGUGUUAUAGCUAAUCUCCCUUCUCUUCAUACAAUCAUCAAUUAUACAAACAAAACAAAAAAAACGCAGGUUAAUUUCACAAGGUAUGCAGUUCUCUUGAUUUCUUGAUUUGAAUUUCAUUUUUAUCCCCAAAGAUUUUCAUCUUUUUGAUCAAUAAUCAUUAUAUGAUCAAGUGGGUGUGAUUGAAUUUGCUAAUUGAGUAGUGGGUAAUCAUUAGUUUUCUCAAUUCAGGUGAAAGAAGAAGAUGGGUCAUCACCACCACCAUCAUCACCACCACCACGAAGGAAGCAGUCCAUAUGAUGAUCCAUUUUUGGCAUGUUGUUGCUGCCCUUGUUUGCUACUCUCCUCUGUUUUCUCUAUGUUUAGCAGGUGUAUCUUUAUGGCCUGUUAUCCUUUUCUGCAGUGUCUUGGAUGGGAUGAACACAGACACCAUCAUCACCACCACCACAGCCAUUUCUGUUAAUCCCAAAUUAAAGAACUUGUUUGUUUGAGUCUUCUACUUUUGUUCGAUUUCAGAGGAUUGUUAGUGUUUCAGUUUGGUUGUUGUGUAUACUUUAUCUUGUACCUGCUAGUUUACUUUUGAGUUAUUGUUUGUUCACUCCGAGUCCAAAGGGGAAGAAAAAUAGAAUCUUUUCAACCAUUUGCUGUCGUUUUCAUAUGUUUUGCUUUUCUUUUUUGGGAAUUUGUGAUUCAAAAUCAAGGAUAGUAGUCCUUCAGAUUUUGGAGAAUCAUAAUGAUGAUUGUGAAUCUCCAACUUCCCCAUAUUAGUUGGAGUUAAAAGGAGAAAUAUAACUAAGAAAUGUUGUCUGACUGCUAAUGAAAUACAAAAUCUUGCCACCAAAUUACAAGCUCUGACACAAACGGUACGCUCCGUGGUGGAAUGAGACAGACUACUAC